GACGUCAUGUGCUUUUUCCCUCCACCUCUACCGACCUUUACUGCCUGCUUUCUGCUUUCCGUCAGACAGAGUUUUUGAUGCCUGUGUGCUCGCCCCGAUCCUGUUGGUUUAGGGGAAAUGUGAGGCGCACGGUAUUCCAUUAGUACUGUGGGUCCCAUCACAGUAGACCGAGGCAAACACACACGCACUCAACUCAGCCAUUUAUUUAUGACUAAGCCAGCGGUGAGCCAGUUCGGUGUGUGAGCGUAUCCGGAGAUGUGUGUUGCCUUGUUGUUUUUUCUUGCUCUUUUAUCAAGAGUGCCUGUGUGUGUGUGCGUGGCUGUCCAUCGCUAUCACCCUUACCCGUGUCGGUCCCCUUCUAGACCUCAUCCUACGCGCUACACGCACUUUAAAGGCUGCGUUCCCUCUCUGAAGCUCGCGUACACUGGUUUUGUUCCUCCUCCUUACCUGGCACGAAAUGCUUUUUCGUGUUUGAAUUUUCACUCUGCACACCUACAGCUCUGACUACGUCGAGCCGUCCCGCUUUGAAAAUCCUGCUUUUUUUGGUGUGGUUUUUGAAGGGGGUUUUUCGGGGAGCUCGCGGACGCCCGCUCGCCUCGUCUCUCGCCGGCUUCAGAAUUCUUCAAUUCCGUGCGGGGGCUUGUAUAACAAAACCAACAGUUGAAUAACAAUGAGGCAUCUCUUUUUAUUAUUUUUUUUCAAAAUCACUCACAUACACACACGCGCACACACACAUUAAUUAGCUCAGUGUGUCCCUGCCAGGGAAAGUUGUACUUCUGCUCGUGACAGGGUAGCCUGCAUGGAACUCAAUAAGUCAACUAAAAUAACAAGUUCCUUGAGAAAGAAGCGCCUCUUGUGCAGCUUCGACAUGCAUGACGGAGGCAUACAGGCCAAUACAUCAGUUAUAUUACACAAGAUGACCAAAGGCCAGCUCGCAGUCGUUCUCUUGGUACUAUAGGUACAAAUAAAAACUUUAGUAUGGAUAAUAAUUGAAUUAAUAAUACAUUCAUGUGAACAUAUUUGGAGCAUAAAUUCACACAUAAUCACUGAAAAAGACUAUUCAAGUGCUAACUCGAUUUUUCCAGAUAAUCCUUCUCUUUUUCUCCUCCUCACCCCCCUGGUAGUUCCUAACUUUGCAUUUUGUGUUUGUGUCUCUGGGCUUGCUUUGUGGACUCAAUCAUCAUAUAUUCAUGAGGCACACUGCACAGCUCAUCAGUUGUGGAGGCGUGACGCUGAAAAUAUUUUUCUUUUUUCUUACUCGACUCGUCCAUUCUACUUUUAUAACAUCUCUGCUGGCAUUCAUCCUGCCUGUCUCACUUGCCUCAGACUAUCUGAGGAUCUUCUAAAGGAGCUAAAGAUAUGACUGAAGCAUGAACCCAAUCAGGGUUGAGCCCAGGCUGACAAACACAUCCCCCCUUGCUUGAUUGGAUCUCUGAUUGACACCCUCUCGUGAGCUAAGUUUAGAACGCCGCAAACAUUAAAUAGAAUUAUAGCCUCCAUUCACAGGAACAGAUUCAGUUCUUAUUCCCAAUGAUUCAUACGCGUCAGUUACAGUUAUAAUAAAUGAUGUUGCGAUGGAUUACUUUUCAUCAGUUAUCAGUGAAUGGUACCCUUUUUUUUGUUAGGGUUCCUCUUAGUAUUCCUGCGUGGCGAUCAGAUCCGUCGUGGUAAUGGCCCCCCUGUGAACAGACACUGUCAAACACAUGUCUUAUAGGGCAACUCGUAGGAAACAGUAUCUGUCAAAAAACAAACAAACCUUUGGCAACCGUCUUUGAACAAUGGUGUUGAUGAGGCUUGGUUAUUGGAAGUAAGAGUAGAGUACGAAUGAAUUACAGUCAGAGGAAAGGGCUCCUUGUAUUAUAAGCCGUUAUCAAAAGUGCUUAAGUUGGUUCCGACAUUGCAAUCAUUGAAAAAAAGAAAUGUAUUCCUUUGGACUUCAACCGUGUUCAAUAAGAGCAUAAUCCGCACUAUUAAAGGCUUAAGUGUAAAAAGAAAGGCUCCACCUGCUCAAGAUAUUGAGCAGUUAAGCUUCAGCCAAACAAUUUUUUAGGUGUUUUUUGAGGACUUUUAUUAAAUGUCAAAUGUUUUUCUGUGUUUCAAGGAGAUAAAAAGUGGCGAUAAAAACAACCCUUACCGAGCUAAUUUGAAAAGCACUUUGAGUGGGGUGGGGGGGGGGGUCCCUCUUUUUAAUCACGAAUAUUACCUCAAUUACUCAAAAUGGUUUAUUUUUUAACCUCAUGACCCUUAAGUUGAAGUGCGUACGGUUGUUCUACAUUCAUGUCUGAAGUCUACCCCCAACGUCUUCUUAUAUCUGUAUUUUUCACUGUAGUAUCACCACUGUAACAUCGUAUCAUUUUAUCUCAUUCCAACAUAGGAUCACCAUUUUUUACUGCAUCCUCUUGAAAACUCCCAAUCGUUUUUUAUAAUUUAAUGAUCGUUCCUGCAAGUAAAACCAGAGUUCACCCGAGGCCAGCGGGUAAUAAAUUAUGGCUGUAAUAUCCAUCACUGGCUGACAGCCAAAUCUCAUCUCUAUACACUCUACAAAGGUGCACGGGUGUGUAGUUUUUCCAUGUGUGUGUGUCUCUCCUUUUGCUGUUAAAGUGAAAUGAUCUCUCAUCACCGUCUCUAUUUGCUUCCUAGCAGGAUGUUAGGCGUGGACACACGCAACACAUGGAUGCGUAUUUCAAUAGAAAAUGCACCAUCAUGUUCCUGUCAUUUGCACAUGUCAUGAUUAGUAAUCUCAGAAGGUAGAGGCUGACGUCAUCAGAUGAUCAUGUAAGAACUGUGCUUUAUACACCUUACUGGUAUAUACACAUACCGUGAUCACGGGGGGUUAUGUAGAGUAUCUACCGAUUUUAGUGUCCACCUUGCGAUGGGACUCUGACUGUCUUACCCCACUUUAAUUCUUUACACCCGCCAUAAACACCACUGCAGAAGAAAAUCAUCUCGGCAACGAGGGAAGCUCCAAUGCAGGCUGAGAUAUCUCCUCUUUUUUUUCUUGGCAGAUGUCUAAAAUAACUAAGCCUAAUUGGAGGGAAAAGGCCAAUCCCACAGUGGAUACUCAAGUCACUCCGUUCUAGACCUGAAGACACACAGGCGUGUUUGGCCAGACAGGGCUAUAAUUGGCAAUGUUUUCAUCCGUCAUAUCUGCAUCAUUUCGCUUACAAACUGGAACAGGAGGUGUGACAUGCGGUACGCGUUUAUGCAUAUCUAAACACGGGAAUGCAUGCAUGAACGCAUCAGUGUGUGCGGAUGUGUUUGUAUAGGUACAUGAGACCAACCAACUGGAUCUUGCUUUUGUGAGCUAAUGGGGAAACAAGGCAAAUUUAUUAUGUAUUCUAAGCAGGGCCGUGAACAUGAAUAAACACCGACAACGCCGUCAUUUACCCCAUCGAGUUCGUGCUUGACACAUGUCUCUGCUGGCUUAGUGAUAUCCAAUGAUUCCCUCGUCAUUCAUAUGGACCAAAAACAUAGACAAAGGACACCGGGUUUCAUUUCAGUGAUUUAUGCUAUGUUCAAUGAAAAUUAACUUUGAAAUCGUCAUCGCGUGACUUUUGUCCGCGUGUUCGUGCUCAGUAAUUCAAAGCCCAAUGUUUUUUUUUUAACGAGUCCAAGGGCAUGAGCAGUUAUUGUACUGCAACAAUGAUAAGGAAAAGCGGAGUGUGGGAAGAACACAGCGACUGAUUUGGCUGCAGUGCUGCUUUCUGUCUGAUCUUCAGCUAAAAAGGCCCUAACUCCUACAACAAGCUUAUAACCCCUCGCUAAUCCCCCCUUCUGACUCAUUUCACUGCAGUUUGAAGCUCUCUCUUUAAAUCUCUUGUUCGCUCGGUGCCAUGCAUACGCGUGCGCAUGCAUACACACACACACACACACACACACACACAUGCCAGAGUCUCUGAAUAAUAAAACCCUUCAGUUGAAAAUGGAAAUGUCUCACUGGACCAGUAAAUUGCACUGUGAGAAAUAUCUUCAGCCAAAUGUUCGCACACAGGCACAAGAAGAGACACAAGAAGACACUGCAAAUCCUUGCAAAAAAAAAUAUUAUUAGCGUGGGUGCUAGACACCAAUGACCUCCAUUAUUUAUCAUUUUCGUGGCUUGUUUUUGGCUUGUUUCUGAGCCUUAAGCCUUUAAUAGGGAGACGAAGAAAGAACCUCAAUGGGGAUUCCCAAUACCCAUGGGCACACACAAAUGCACAGCAUCAUUAACACUGACGGGGGGUCCUUUACGUACGUACCGCAUUGCCUGUCUGAACUAUUUUUACAUUUCGUUCUGUUUUUCAUUGUGCAGGUACGAUUUUAAAUGGAGUCUGUAAGUGAGUGAGGCUGUCGAGGGUUUCGAGACGACAGGAAGGCCUUUGUGUCAGUGUUACAGAUGACUUUUUACACGCGCAGCCGCAGGAAUUAGCAUUGGUGAAGCUUUAAGGGCUGUCACUCAUGGCCUCCUCCCUCAAUUGAGAUGACUUAAUAUCACGGCACUCAUAAUACCACCUCACAGCAGUGCCAGCAUAGCAGAUCACAGUCACGGGUUUAGUGGUGGCACAGAAAAUUAGAAAAAGAAGCGCCUUAAUGGUAUUAAUAGGAGGCUAAAGCUACUUAUAUUCCUGUCUUUCAAAUUUCAUUAGCACAGUGGUCUCUUGAUUACCAUGUUCUUGGCCCCGAGUAUAAAUGUAUCCUCUCAUUGCCACACCUGUGUUUGGAUUUAACCAGAGGAUUAAUCUGCUUGAUGGUUCUGAGCAAAAAUAUAGAAGAAACCACCCAUUUUUGAACAACCUAAAUGCUAGACGAGAAAUGCUCGUUCCCUCUAUUUUGUGUCCCCUCCAGUGAUUAUAAUGCAGAACAUUUAAGUUGCACCUCCAAAACUCUCAAGCAGCUCCCGCUGAUGUAUCGUCCUACCUUUGGUGUGGGGCAGCAGCUACACUCUCCAUCUUCAUUGCCCUUAUUAUGAUUAGAAUAUGUCUACGGAUGGAUUUAUUACGCAGAACAUAUGACCGUAUUCAGAGCCAUUAGGCUGGUUACUCAAACAAUGUUUCAUUUCUUCUGAAAGGUCAGACUAUCAUGGGGAUUUGUUUAAUGUAUAUAAAUAUACACAAAAACUUUAUUCAUAAUACAGGAGUUGAAUGUCUGUGAAAUGAUAUAAUCCAUGUACUCAGCGUCAUGGCACAUAUGCUUGAACUCCGAUAAAUACGGUCUCCUGUGUAACAUGAGUGUAAUAGCUCAGUGAUGAGGGUUGGCUCAUUAUCAGGAUAUAUAUAUACCAUUUACGCCCCAAUUACAUUCAUUAAAAUACUGGAGUAUCACUGAAAAGCAGCUAUAGUAUUCUCUAGACUCUAAUAUUGUGUUUUGGAAACUCUGUUCCUAAAGGAUGGCUCAUUGGGGAGGGACCCGUAAGCCUUAAGCAUGCUGCAUUAAUGGCUAUUUUUAAUAAUAUUAGAGUAAAAUUGCUCUCUGUAAUGGGAAAUGAGUGGCUCUUAGUGCCUCCAGUAAAGUAAUAGCAGUGGCAGAGUAGCAUCCAACUUUGCAGUCCUACACAGCUUUAAAACCGUAGUUGUUUGUCUUUACCGCAUAGUUGAGACUUAAAAGCUUAAUCACCCGCGAUAUUUUACAGAAAAACGCUUCACUACAACUACUGCUGAAUGGCGGUUUAUGGUAUUUAUCUAUUUAUCUGAUUGUUUAUUCCCCCCAAGGUUGCCAAAGAUUGAUGAAUGCAGCUGUAAUUGUGUGGAAUGGUGAAAGAAAUCAUUUCCAACCUCAAUUUUUAUCUGUAUCUACUUUGUUUUGGCCAUUUGUUAUUUUGUGAAACACUUUUUCACAAAGUCAUUUCAUGGUCAGUUCUCGGUAAAGAGCAGUCCCAGUAAAAACUUCCUCAUUCCAAACCAGAAAGUUCCCUAAAAAAAGACCUCCCAAAUUCUCUCUGUUCCAUUUAAUUUUCCAUCCGUGUUUAUUGCUAAUUGUUAUCUAAUUAGUUGUCCUCUGUUGCUCUUUAAACACACAUAACUAAUGUUCAGUGAGACAGCCAUUACAGUACAUGAAAAGCUUUGAAGGCUCUCUGUAAAACACCGUCUUCACUUCCUUUGAAAUGCUUUUGAACCUCCUUGUUUGCUUUUUGUCAACACCCUUGUUUCUGAAGUUUACCGGUUUGCAGAGAAAUGCGGUACAGUUUAACUGGUAGAUUAACGCUCUCGUGCAUAAGCAGAUUCCUAUACUCUUAAGUUGAUUAUAGUGCAUUAUUUCCAUACGACGUCCUUGCUUGUGCUUACUACAGUGGCCGUAUUAGUUUAUGUUUAAGGAUGGUACGAAAGGCUGUAUGCAAACAGAAAAUGCGACAAUAGUGAUAAUGUGCCGGUCAGUGUGCAAGUGGACACAGGCCAAUUUUUCAACCAACGUCUGUCGAUGUCAGUCAGCGGUCCUCCCGGAUUUUCAAGCACGGUGGGAAAGAGGACGCAGGCAUAAGAAAGAUGAGAGGGUCCAUGUUUGAUUAGCCUGAAGUGAGAGAUGUGCCUUUCAUCCGUCCCCUCACUAAUCUCUGUCCUCUUAGAGGGGCCGCACUGCCUGUGGGCAAAAAGGGUGGCAAGCCCUCCGCGUCGAGCCGGCGGCCACGCUGUGCGUCCGUCCCUUUCAUUUUGUGCACGCCUGGGUGUUACGGCAUCGCGUUCAUUGCAAAGUAGGCAUUACUGAUAAUGACAUUGCCGUUACGCGGGGGUUGAACAUGACCCAAGAGCUGACACGGAGACGGCCGAAUGUGGUGAAGGAACGGGUUUUUAAUCGGAAAGGAUUAGCAGGAGAAAGGGAGCCAGGCGGUAGCUGGGAGGCAGAACUACAGGGCUGCAUAAAACAAAAAAAUGGUAAUUACCACCUUUCUGUUAUCACCAGACCAAAUGGGGCGGCUGAGGGGGCAGUGAGGGGUCAGAUUGAAGUAUUUUAACAAUUUUGUUAACCGCCUGACAUUUCCUCAAGUGCCACCAUGAGGUUGACAUUUGUGUUUUUUAGUGACAUGUCAUAACACCUGCUGGAUUGGCUUUCCGAGGUGCCGCCAAGGGGAUCAGAUCCUCUCGCGUUUUAUUGGAUAGCAAUCAACAAUUUAGUUUGUGUAUCAACAUUAAGGACUGGCACACAAUUUGGGUACUAGGCAUUUAUUUGAUUUAUUUUCAUCUAACAUCAUCCUCAGGUCAAAAUAUCUGCACUUAAUGUUCGGGGCCACAACAAAAACACACGGUUGAGGUCAACUUGACUGAUUGGUGACUGAGGUCACAAUAGAGUGACAUGCAACUCAAGCGGAUAGCGAGUUAAUAACAAGGCAAGUGUCUAGCUGCUCACACGGCAAAGUGAUGGAACGUUAACAUGUCUUAGCAAGGCGGCAAUUUUGAGGCCGUUUGAAAGCUGACAUUAACUCAAAGCAUAAGUGUGCCCAAUUAGAGCAUCACCACUAGUGUGGUGUUACACAUUUUUCACUGGACUUUCUAAAAGAAACAGUAAGAAUUCAAGCCACGAAAGUAUUUCAUUAAAGUUAACCAUUCAUAUAAAUUACUUUAGUGAAAUUGGCUCUCCACUUAAUUUUUUUAUUCUCACGCAUCACAGUUAUUACUUUUUCUACCUUGGAAAGGAAUGAAAAAAAAUAAAAAAAUGGGCCGCUAAUUGCGGUUUGUGAUUGCCUCUUCGACCAUUGGAAGUUGAAACCUCAGCUCGCAGCUUUGUUCUGAAUACUGAGUUUAAGCUGCCUGUAGCUAUUAUAGGCCAACGUGCCAACGCCUACCUUCUUCUGUCGAAUUCAAUACGGCCAAAAAAUCAGCCGGGCUGCAGAUAGUAUGCUUCAGUUAAAGCAAACUGCCUUGCAGAAAGUAAAUGACCAGUGCAUAAUGUCGACUAAAUGCUUUGGCAGUGGUGUCCAUAUGCGAUAAAAACUCAUUAAAGCAUUUUAUGUUCCGUCAUGGAAGUGAAUUCCAGAAAAUAUAUCUGUGUUGUGUCACCUUAAAUAUCAUUUCUGUGCAUCCAUGCAGAAACAGGACAUUCAGUCAGAUGUUGAAUAAGGAAUUCAGGAAAAGGGAAAGUGAGGUGAGAAGGAUCCAAAAGAGGAGAAUGAAACCGACACAUCUGGAGGAGAAAGAGACAAUGACAGCACAGCAUAAUGAGAGCAUAUUAAUGAGACUUGUUAGUCAAUGCAAUUCACCUGAAAGGGAAUUAACAUAAAAAAGCACAUUCUCUAAGAUAUUUUCAAACCAUCAUUUCUCCAUAUCCAUCCCUCCCACUAUCAAAGGCUUCAGCAUUUGGCGGAUCAAUCAUCUGGCUGUUUAUUGUAAACCUGAUUUAAAGAGAGGGAGACAAAAACGUGACCCGAGUGUGUGAUCUAACACUUUGUUCCACCGCAAAGACGCACGCACACCCCAGCAGAAUGCCAUUGGAUCAUUUCUUCCUCAAACGCCUAUUUAGUUAUAGUCCUGUUUACUUUGUGUUGAGUAAACAAAUGGAUCGGGAGUUUUAGCGCUGGAUAAUCCAUCUGUAUCCUUCUGUGUCGACUAAGGACACAUUCUGACGUUACAAUAACAGCUCAAUCUACAUGAAACACAGAUAUCCUCCCACUCUACAAGGGGAAAUAUUUAAACAGCUUGCUCUGUGUUCCCUUUUUGACAGGCAACGCUCUUUAAAGUUUCAAGGGAAGGGGAAUAAACGUACAUAUAUAUGCAGGCUUGAUAUUCUGUUGAGAAGUGAUCCAGCUGUGCUUUUCGUGACGGCCGUCCAUAAGCACACUGAUGAUGAUCUUUAGUCUCUGUGGUCAAGUACCGGAUAUUAUUUGAGUGUCAAGGUAAAAUGCUCACUAUUUUAUCCGUCCACCUUUAUUCGUGUGCCUCGCUGGCUGUUCUUGGGAGUGCUGAAAAAGCCAUCAAGGCUUUUUGGUGUGUGUGUGUGAGUGUGUACGGCGCUGCAAGUGUGCAAGCCGGGACUGCAGUAUUUUGUUCUGAGUCAGAUCCUGUGAAUAGCUCGGCUAAUUUUUCCAUUUAUCCCUGACUCUGCGUUUACAAAUCGGCCCUGUCACAUCCUAUUCAUCGGUUCCUGGCCUUUCAUUUAUUCAACAUCCUCCUUUUCUUAUAUCGCAUUCUCUCCAUGUUUUAUAUUCUCCUUGAUCCUUCUCUAUUUGCACCCAGACGCACACCGUUGUCGCAACAAAAAGUCCAAGUAUGUUGAGGUUGUAUUUCUGUGAAAACCGAGCUUCUUGUGAACUUAAUUCCCCCUGUCUUCUCGCUGUCCUGUUACCCCUGUCGUCUUAAUCUGCAGUCCAUUGUCUAAUUGCAUACCUCUUUGGAAUAUUCAGUCUAUGUUUGCUUCCAUUAGCGUGUGAGUCCACAGGAAUAAUAAAGCCCUGGGAUGAUUUGUACUUGCAAAUGCACGACAACACACACCAGGUCCUCUCUAUGUAAAAUUAUAGAUGAAUAUUUAUAAUUCUCCCCAUCUGUUUGAUGAAUAAUCAAAAUCAGCCUAAUGUGCUCUGAUAUUGGACUCAUUAGAGCAGCCAAUCACAGACCAUUUUGACUUAAAGCCUCACAGUCAAAAAUAGUUUUCAAAAGUGUGAGUGGACCAAAGGUCAGAUACUCAUUACACCGUGGAUCAGAUUAAGCUACCUGCCACCCAAAUAGUCACUAUCACUCGCCAACGUCGUGGCUGCACAUUAAUGAUCUUCAAUAUGAUUCAAUUGACAGUGGUCGGGGUUUUCAUUGGAGCGGUAUGAAUCACGCCAUGUCUGCCCUUUCUUUCCCAUCCGUUCCCCAUUAGCCAGGGAUAGGAACGGGGCUCGCUGGAUUGAUGAGUGGAGGCAGUGGCAGACGGGGCAUUUCCUUUACUACUCUUUUCGGUCGUAGCAUGCGAGUCUCGCCAAACUGUUCUUGCAGCCGGUGCAACUGGUUUAUUGCCGUUUGACACUGAAGGCGUCCGUGGUCAUUCGUGGUUAAGCGUCAGCGUGUAAAACUUACGGUAAAUCAGCCGUUGAAUUGACUCAGCGGCGGUUUGUUUACUCGCAUUUAACUGCAGCAGGUAGCAGUAUCCGGCUGGUCAUGGAUUUACCUUUCGUUCUUCCUAAAGUCUGGAAUACUAUACUACUUUUUUUUUCCUGUUUGCGCGACUGUGGCGGAUAAUGUUGCUUUUUAAAGGUGCGCACACCUGCAACUAACAAUCUCUCACUCAACCAGCAGUGUGCAUGUCAACGGUGAAUUGUGUCUUCCUAUGCAUGUGGAUGCCCAUGUCGGUGCGUGCAUGGGUCCGUGUCACAGCUGGUUCUGGGGUUGAACCACAGCUGUGAGAGAUUUUAAUCAACUUCAGGGGGUCUAAAACUGUAGAUUAGUGUGUGAAUUAUUAGGGAUUUAAGGCAGAAGUGCAUCCCUAGUCAGGAAAUUAUAGUACGUGUAAUAAUGUCUGUGUGUGUGUGUGCUUGCACGUGUCGGCGAACAGGAGCAUUAAUGUGGCGUUAGCAUAGCUAUCAAUGUCCCAGCUGGGGAGGAGCGUUUUGUGUUCCACGUGCAUGCGUUUAUUCGUGUGCUUGUGAGCGUCUGUGUGACAAAUGUCACACCUUAUGGGAGGCAGGAGGUUUUGAUGUGGCUAUGCGUGGGAGUGAAGGCUGGUGGGAAGUAUGGCUGGCCUUCCUGUCCCGAGUCUGAAGCAGCUGCUCUUUUCAACCUGGAAAUAUUGAGGUUGUCGUUACUAAUAUGUUACAGCUAACAACUCAACACAAAGUAGUAUGCAAUGCACACUUGAAAAAUGUGACGGGUCGCACAACAGAAUCCCAGCCAAAGCGUCCGUUCAAUGAGUCAUAACGCACAGCACCGGUGUGAUAAUGGUCACAGUUUAGAAGUCAGAGGAAAGUGAAAUGAAUAGAUACAAUCACUUUGUAAAGGCCUCCGCUUAGGAGCGCGAAAUAGGAACUGCACACACACACACACAAACAAACACAUUCGCAUAAACACACGGCCCAGCUGUUAUGUUUCCUCCGUUAGCAAACUCUCACCAAGCUCUCUUCUGACCUAAAAUGAAUGUUCCCAUCAUGCCCGUCUUCCCUUUGACGAUGACGUUCAUUGGACUUGUGCGUUGGCUUCUGCCCACGUUUUUAGGAACAUUUUGUGUUAGGAACCUGCCCUUGGCACAGGCCUCUUAUUAAUAUUAACAGUCCAGCUCAUGUUCAAGGCCAAUCAAAAUCUGUUGUUUUUCAGUUCCUUCAUGAAUCUGUAAUGUACAAAACAUUUGGCUGUAUAGGAGCUCAUGGGAGCCUUUUCUGGGAAAACCCUGCUAAUCCUCAUGGUUUAUGACUCUAAAUAGUCUAUAGACUUUAUUCAUUUAUACCAAAGAAAUAGUCUGUAAAUGCUGUUGAUUAGGGGUGGGUUCAUGUCAUAAUGUUGGAUUAAAUCUUAUUGUGAACACUGACCACAAUUUGAAAUCGCAUUAAGUCGUUAUUCGGCCGCGGGUGAUUGAUUGGUCAUUACAUACAGUACAUCCGCUUUCAGGCAAUCAAUCAAAGCAAUAUGUCACCAUUUGGAGAAAAAUAAGAAAAUGAAAACUAUUUUACGAGUUGGUAAGAGUGAAAUAGACGUGGGAUAGAAAAAAGUCCCGGCACAAGCACAGUGGAAGUUCAUUGAAAGCUCGGUAACUGCUCCGUUGAUUAAGGGCAGUGCGACCGGCCCGUUUGCAUACAGGCUCAGAUCAGAGAGUUGUUUGAAAGAUCAUGAAGACACAGCUUCACUUCUUCAUGUCUUCUUCUCCACAUCCCCCGGUGCAUCCACAGUGCGUCACACAGCGGGAUCGGGGACCGACUCCAAGACUCGGCCCAAAUUAGCUGUAUUCACAAUGUAGUCACUGUGCAUGCGUCACACCCUGUCUGUAUUUUGUGAUUUUUGUUUUGAUCUGUAAAUGGUUGGUUCACUAAAGUACAGCGGAAGCGGAGAAGUGUGAGCGUAACACAAAAUCACACACAGCGGAGGCUUUUCCUCACCGGCCGCGGCAAUCUUAUUAAAAAGCCCACCCGACAUGAAGGUGAAGUACAAAAAAACCUUCUGCCGCCUCUCAGAGGUGAACGAGAACAAGUGCGAGAGAUGGAGAGAAAGGGGGGAGGGGUGGGGGGAGGAGUGAACUUGACAGUCGGCGUUCCGAGGGCAUUUUUCUCCCGACAGGUCCCACCUAGUCCGGGUCAGAGGCAGGAAUUGGGAUGGAAAGGAGGAGAGCGAAAGGGGGAUUGGAACGUGACGAAGAGGGGGGGGGGGGGGGACAAAGGGUGAGAGGCCACCGAAGCUUUGGUGGGACGCCGUGAAGUGGACCUUUUGUCUCUCGUUGGGAAAUAAAGUCGGCUUCUUACUUAACACACACACACACAAAACAAAAAAAAACGCGAUAUAAAUAAAUAAAUAGAAAUAAUAAUAACUCCGCUUGAUCGUAUCACUGUAAGCUGUUGGUUUUUCAUUUUGUACUGACAUGGCGCGGCGCCGUCACAAUGCGUUUUUCCAUUUGGCGGCGGGGACGGGCGUGCUGCAGCACUGAAGUGUAAUCCUCUCGCACAAUAAUACAUUUAUUCAAUUCACAGUCAGGGGAUCAGUUGACAUCUUUGCUCUCAUAAGCUCCUUCUUUCUCGCCGUCACCUUCCUUCAACCCAUAAUUCCAUAGUUUUCACAAACAUACUCAUUUUAGUUUGCGCAGUGAGUGACAUGAUUCUCGCCCGUUGAGUUUUAAAGUCUGAUAGGUUUACAUUAAAAGACUUAGAGGCGAUAUAUGUGCACAUGGAAAGAUGGGGCCUUCUGUAGCAUUUUCAAGAAAGAAGACAAUAGGGAAGGAGAGGAGGAGAUUAAAAUGAGACAAGGGUGGAAGUGAGGAGAGGUGACAAAGGGAGAGGACAGCCAGGCCUUAUCAGCAUUCACUCAUCCCACAGUGGGUGAAAUUACCCUUCUCUGUCUUGCAGGCCUGCAGUCUGCCCGUGCUGGGGAUUUGCAAUGGUCAUAAAUCCCUGUGCGUGCUACAGUGUGCAUAGCGGUGUGUGUGUGUGUGUGUGUGUGUGUGUGUGUGUGUGCAGACAUCCAUGGGUGUGUGUGGUUGCAGGUGGGUGUUUAGUGUUUAGAUCCCUUGUUGUCAAGAUGAAAGGACUUUGCGGACGGAAUAAAAUUCACGGGCAAUGAAUGCGCGGCGUGAGGGAUGAGCGCCCCGUGAAUCACACGCGUGCGAUUGGAGGCGCUGAUGUGUCCCGCCAAAGCACGGCCUCAGAUUCCCAUCCAUUCUGCAGCUCGCUAGUAAAUACACAACGUUAGCGACAACAAUUAAGUGCGGUUAUCUUGGCGUUCUUUGUCUGCGAGUGCGGAUGAGCCUGCGCUGAGACACUAGUUGAAACAGCCCUCUGCUUGAUGAAAAAAAAAGCUCAUUUAAUUGGGUUGCUCCCCAAUCUUUUUUUCUCACCGAUAAGGGUGCCUUAAUAAAAGAUAAUUUCUCCCUUUUCACGUUGCUUCACAGAUUCCUUCUUUCUGCUUUAUCUGCAACAUCUCUUGAUUUCUUUUCAUUUCCCAUGGUUCCUUUGCCCCCGCUUUUUCCCUUCUUCUCCCGGCUUACAGUGUGUUCUCUCUCCCUUCCCUGCGUGCACCCCUCUCUCUGCCCCUCUAAUUUAUUUUCUCUGUGUGCUGUGUGUGAAAUGUUAAAUUAGAAGUCGGGUAAAAAGAGGGCCUGGGAGCAAGAGACAUCAAUAGCUUCCUUUUAAUUCUGAGAACUCCCUCGCUCUCCCCCUUCCUCCUUUCUUUCUCUCUCUCUCAAUCCCCCUUCCUCUCCAUCCUUUCCCCUGCUAAUAAAGCCAAAUUGGCAAGAAAGCUAGUGACCUCUACCCUCCCUGUCUCUCUUUUCUCUGCUUAAAGAACCAUGUCGGGAAAUGAAAUGACAAUGACAAAAAGGCUGAUGUCAUUCUCCAUCGCCCGCACAUGAAGUUCCUUUUAUUUUUACCUGUUUUAUCUCCUUUCUAUCCUCCAUAACGUCUAAUCUGUUUGCCUCAGGUGCCGUUCUUGUGUGCCUGCCCUCUCUCACAGAAGACCUAUUUUCCUUCUUUCCUUUUAUUCCGUCUUCUUUUAGACAUUCUCAAGGGAGAAUUUGGUUUGAACUGUCUUUUUUAAUGUCUGACUCACUUGGUAUGUGUUUAAUAAGUCUGCCUGCCAGCCAUACCUGCCUGCCUCUCUGAAUGUCCCCUUUUGUAGGAGUUGCUGCAUAGCGACCCUGGGGUUGAAGAGACUUUUGCAAAGUUUAGAUUUAACAAUCACACUCCUUUUUUAUCCUCUUGUCUGUUCCCGACCUUGAAGGAGAUUUUUUUUCUUUUUGGGCUGAGAGCCCGUUUGGUUUAAAAUCAUAUAAAAAAAGAAUAGUCAGUCCCUUAAGUUGGACUGGGCCGUUUUUUGGAUCCUUAAGUGCAGGCGAGAGUUCGCUGUCAUUCGCUUGUCCUCUCUUUUCACAACUUUGGCUAUGAAUUAUAAAUGGUAUAUCGGUCUUUUAUCCUUCCCCGGGCAUAGAGGGGGCUGAGCGCUAUAUGCAUGUACACACGUACUCCUCAUGGGUUAUUAAUAUAUGUACAUAGCAGCAUUUUAAACUUGUCCCCCUCUUCUUGCGCCCUCCUAUGCUCUUCUCUUUUCUACGCUCUGCCUCUUUCUUUGGCAUCACAGGAAAGAGUAACACAGAAAACGGAAACAUUUUGGACUGGUGGAACUUUCUUUUAUAUAGCAUGCAUAAUCUGCUGUCACUUUAUUCCCGUCUUUCGCAUUCCUCCUUCGUGCCACGAUCACACUUGUUUUCUCGUGUUUGUGUGUGUGUGCCGGUGUGUUUGCAUUCCGUGUCCGUGCCUAUGCAAGUGUGUCCUGUCCCACCGGGUGUAUUUACACAUUAAGUUUGAGCCUGUGAUUAUUUUGACUGCUCAGAAGAGCCGAGGCACUAAUAUAAUUGGCAAUUAAAUUAAGGAAGCUAGCUUUCCACACACCCCCGGUGAGUUUGCACAGUGUCUCCUGAAGUGCUGUGCACACACAUAAUACUCAGACGAACAGACCCCCAUUGAACUAAUAAGGUUCCCGGAUAGUUUUAAAAGAAGCUACAUGUGAAGAUGAGCAGAUCUUUCUCUGUCACGGCCGCCCCUUAACUGUUGGGGAACACACUUUUCACAAUCAACUCUUGGUCACAAGCUGAGGCCUGGUUUUCUGGGCCGUGAUGUGAAAGGGUGUGAUUGCGUGACAAAAAAAGAAGAAAAAAGUCGGUUUUACCAAUUUGAGGUGACAAAUGCAGAUAUUCGUUCCAAAGCUGUGCAGUGAUGGAAUUACUACGACUUAAAAUAAAGUCUCUCAUCCGAUAUCUUAAACAAAGGUACCAUGAGGGACUUAAACUUUGUGUUUAUUGUGGAGGUCCCUGUGGACAAUAGCGAUUGUGUUUCCAAGCAACAGAUCCCCCUGAUAAAUCAGCUUAUUUUACUUUGAAAGGGUCUGACAGUAUGCAAAGCGCAGUCUAGGUUCUGCUUCUCACAUGCCUCCCUUCUCUCCAGUAAUAUAUCCUAUAUAUAUAUAUAUACUAGCAUGGUGCGUGUGUUGGUUUCCAGCAUGUACCACAGCUCUGUUACUGGCGGCGAGAAGAUAAUAGUCAUAUUAGUCAUUUCUCCAACUUUGAUGAAAAAAUCUUAACCGCUUUAAUCUAGUUGAAUAAGCUAACGUUGUAUUAAAAUGUGAAAGUGAAUAUUCCCCUCUUACGUGCGAUUCCACCCCUGAAUGUUUCUAAUCAAAGCAAGAGCAAGAGUUCACAAAGAGAAGCAAUAUGCAACCGACAUCAAUGAACCUGAGGCCGAACAGUGAGACUCUGCAUUGGUAUGGGAAACACCUUCCCAUCCACUUUCUAAAUUACGCUGUGCCCAUUACUAGGAGCCCAAUGGGAGGGAGGUUUGUUUAGCUCUGCUCCAAUGGGAGUGGAUGUUGUUUGAAGGCCUGCCAUUUCAAUCAGGCUUGUUGUUAAGCUUUUGUUGUUGUUUUUUUUCGGCGAACCUGGCGAGACGCAUUGCCAGGGGGACACAUGUGGUUCAUCACGCCUGUAAUUGGAUUUGAUUUUGCUUUCUCCGCUUUUUCCCGAUGUUCAAUUAGGGGACUUUGCCGCUGAAGAUUUGUCCUAUUUUGCAAAGGGAAGCAAGGUGGACUUGAGAGACGGAAGGACUGAAAUGGAGACCCAUGUGAGCGUGAAUGGUGAUUAGCCAUUUUAGUCAAAUUCAUAUACGGUUAUACAAUUCAUAGUAUAUGUUUUUUUUAAAUUAGUUUCCCUCCCAUGCAAGUACACGGCAGCAGUUGCCUACAUGCAGUUGUAUACAAACUGAUUGCAUGAGAGCGAGUCCGCUCCCACAGAGACAGUAAGGCAGCGAAGGGGAGGGAGUGAUAUGUGCCAGAAGCGGCAUCGAUUAUGACAUGGCCUUCCUCUCAAGGGGAGCUAUGGUCAGGCCAUUUGUUUGACAAGAAAAGAGUGGGGGGAGUCUAUUAGCGGGGGGUCCCUGGUGGACUGAUGACGGGCAGCUGUAGCGUCGGGGGCCGAGCCCGCUGGGACCGACCCAGGCGGGGGGGGGGGGGGAGAUAGUGGGGAGACUAACGACUCUCCCAAACGCCAAAGGGUGCUUCAAAGGUCAAGAUCUUUGUACGCCCUUAUAUUUCACCUGGAAGUGGAAAGUGAAGAGUGUGUGUGUGUGUGUAUGUGUGUGUGUGUGUGUGUGUGUGUGACACAUUUGUAUGUGCAAGGAAUAAAUCCGCACACCGUUAGAAUAUGACAUUCAUCCCUUAACCAUAAGACCAAAAUAAAAAAAGCAAACCUGAAUCCCUGUGAUAAAAAAAAGCCUAUUGUAGAGAAAACCACACAGCACAUUUCUUAUCUUGCCAGGCUUAUGAGGACCUAUCGCACACAUAAAGAUGUGAACAACACACUUACAGAAACGCGCGGUCCACAGUCGUUGGCGUGGACUUGCAGCGUCAGCUUUUCCCUGCCUUGACUCAUGUCUUCCCCUCGAUAGUGAGCCCUAAAAACAAGGAGAGGAAAUAGAGUGGGAGAGGAGAUAAUGAAAUAAACACCCUGCCUGGCAACGCUUCAAAGAGAGAGGGAGAGCUUGAUCUGCUCUGCUUCAGCCAUAGAGGGAAGACAUGUUACAUAAAGAAAAAGAUUUGGAGAUAUCAGCAACUACCUCCUCCACCGUAGCACACAAACAUAAAUAGAUUCACAGAAUAGAGUUAAUGAAGUUGGACUUAACAGGAUGAUAUUGCUUUUUAUAAAUUGUUUUGAAUCACACAGCGUGGUUACAUGGAUUCGAAUAACUGGCUUAGUCGGACUGAAAUCGAAUUAUCCGCUUCAUGUAAACACCUUUGUCCGACUAUGUCCGGCGGUCCGACUACGAUCCGACUAACACCCCUGGAUAACUCGAUCCGAUCCAGUUGAUAGUUCGACUAUUGCGGCACGAAACGGUGAAUCGGAUAAGGAACUGGACUUUGCGUCUUUGCGCAUGCUUGAGAUCCUGACGGCGUCUUCUCUCCGUUAUCAAAUCAGCCGAUAGCGCCAUUCGCAUUCGCUGUACUCCUAUUAACAUCAUGCAAAAAUAGUAGCGGGAUGUAGCUUAACACUGGCCUCCCAAUGUGGUCUGAUCAACAUUUGCAUAGACUCAGAUACACACACACACACACACACACACACACACAAAAUCCAAAGACGCUGUGCAUAAAUAAGUGUCCUUUAUUUAGAGAGAUUUUCAGAUGAAUGUCUUCCUGAUGGAUUGUUCCAUCAUCAGUGCACACGACUUCAUCCAUGCACAUACACAGGAGCAGACGCUGUUAAAUAUAUGGUCCUGCGUGCAAGCAUACACACAAGCUCACACACAAUGUGCCCUUUUCACUCCAUGUUCUCUUUAAUUGAAACAUUUCUGUUGACAUGCACAAUGAAUUUAGCUUUGGCUGUGUUUUUUUUUUUUGUCCCUCAUCCCGCAGCCACGAUUACCUUAAUAGCAUUAUUGCUUUGUGUGACAUAUUGUCUUUUUUAAUGAAUGUUCCUUCCACGCGGCACACUCGCUGCUCUAACAUUGAGUUUUAGAACUUUAAAAACCUCUUUAAACGCCUCUACUUUCCAUUCAGACGACGUGGCUUUUCAUAUAAAUUGGCGUAUGGUAAUUUUUUUAAUAUUUAGUCCCAGAAAGAAUUCCAGAUCGGGUUUACAUCAGGGAAAUCCAAGCAAUGAUGCACAGCUGUCCCAUUUUGGCAGGAAUUGAUUAUUGCACAAUCAUGAGCUAUACUUUAGUCUGUGUUGGUUUCUUUGUUUGUGAAAGUAUUUCCUGGGUCAGUAAUUUCAUAUCGUUAAUCAUUGUACAACUAUAUUUAGCCUUGCAAACAUUGUUAAAAAAAAACAAUGUGUCAACUGAGCUUUAACUUCGAGGCGCUUAAGCAUUUACUCCCCCAUUUAGAUUCAGCUUUUCAAACCUCAUGUAACACAAUUCACAGACGAAUACUUAGAGGGGAACUAGGUUUCCCUCCAAGUAUUCUGUCUGCCUCCUUCGCUCUUUUACUUUCACCUCCUCUCCAUUCCAGGCAUUAGUGAUAGUACAAAACAGAAAAAGCUGGUGUGAGCUGAUCAGUUGACUGGGAUACGCUGCUCAUCACCCUCUUCCUCAGUCUCCGUUUCACAAUGAAACCCCAAAUUCCCACCAGACCCACCGCAAUAUUACAAGGCCUUUUUUCCAAAUCCUUAUUAGACCCCCCCCUCACGCACUCACACACACAUGCUCAGACCCACAUUUGCACGGAUGAAUACAUGUGUACACACGGCGGUGUGUUCGUCACACAAAGGGAUUUUGAUUUUAUCUGCAUGUGUCACACCAGAUUCUGUCCAAGCUGUCCACAGAUGGUGACAUUUAGUCCCCCCCCCCCCCCUCCCCCACCACAAAAACAAGGUUUAGGGUAUGAAGAGUAUGUGUUCUGUGUUUUGUAGGGUCACGUCUGACACACGCUUCUCCAUCUGUGUAUCUACAUUCUGCUAAGAUCCUCUACCAGCGAAAGAGCACUAAUAAGGAAGACGAAGCAUGAAGCAUGUUGGCUGUCUGUCUUGUCAAAUUAGUCACUGUAUACAUCUCAUUUUGGCUUUUAAAGAGUACACUAAAUGAUCAUAGCAAUUGUUAAGUGAAGUGAAUCAAUGCCGUUUAUUAAGUCAAGGCAUCGUUUUAGUUGAGCAUCCACACGGGUCCAACAUGGGUUGAACGUAUAACUCUGAGAUAUGCACACCCAGAUUACUGUGCUGUAGAAGGCUCAAAAUGUUGCAAGUGAACUAUUUAUUUUUGUUUUCUAUAAAAUAUCACCCUCUGAGGAAAGAAAUCACUAACUCAAACUGUCCAUCACUCAAUGCUUCACCAUGGUUUUCAGCAAUGUGGUUACAUUUGAUAUCCCCUUCAUCUCUUUGCUUGUCCUCAUCUCCAACAAUCAUUAAGUCACUCGUCUCUACUUAAUAGCCCCCCAUUAUCAAUGCAACACAGCCUAAAACUCAUGUUUGGAUCAUAUUGAAUAAUCUGAAUUGGUUUUAGCAGCUAUGAGUCCAUCUGAUAAUGAGAUUCAAUGUUUUCCCAAUGGGGUUAUUGAAAGAUAUUUUUCCUCCAGAUACUGUAUAUAUAUAUAUAUAU
ensembl:lncRNA